GACACAAGUCAGCAUUUAGUUUCUUGCUUUAGGAAGCGGAAGACUAAUGACCGAAGCUUCAAGACUUUGACAUGUGUGAAAACAUGAAAUGACCCUUGGCUCUUAUUGUUCUUGCUGGUGUGGUAUGUUCACGGCUGAAAAGAUGGUCAGAAGGGGAAAGGAGGAAGUGAGAAGAAAGAAACAGGGAAAUGACAGAGUGUUGCUCAGUUACCCAGGCUGGAGUGCAAUGGCAUGAUCUUGGCUCACUGCAGCCUCCACCUCCUGGGUUCAAGCGGUUCUCGUGCCUCAGUCUCCCAAGUAGCUGGGAUUACAGGCUGGAGUGCGAUGGCAUGAUCUUGGCUCACGGCAAACUCCGCCUCCCUGGUUCAAGUGAUUCUCCUGCCUCAGCCUCCCGAGUAGCCGGGAUUACAGGCAUGUGCCACCAUGCCCCGUUGGCCAGGCUGGUCUCGAACACCUUACCUCAGGUGAUCCUCCCACCUUUGGGAUUACAGACCCUGCAUGUGAUGGAUCAGCUGACACCAUCCAGAUCGGUAAACUGGUUCAUCUGAUCUUGUGCCCUCCACCCAGGAACUGACUCAGCGCAAGAAGACAGCUUCGACUCCUUGUGAUUUCAUCCCUAACCAAUCAGCACUCCUGGCUCACUGGCUUCCCCCAACCCACCAAAUUGUCCUUAAAAACUCUGCUCUCCAAACGCUGGGGGAGACUGAUUUGAGUAAUAAUAAAACCCUGGUCUCCUGCA
rnacentral:lncRNA from 1 species